UUGUAAUUCAUCCUGUUCAGACCUGAACUCAGCAUGUUUUCUUUAAACUUGCCCAUCCUUCUAGGUCCUUAUCCCAAUGAAUAGAACUAUAGUCCACUUACAUGUCCAUGAACCUGGAGUUACCUUAGAUAGUCCCUUUCUCUACCCAACCUCCGUGUAUAAUCAACCUACAAUCUUUUGUACCUGUUACAUACUCUUUUCUCUCAACCUGUGCUAUCAUAGGCUUCACACAAGCUCUCAUUACCUCUCACCUGAGAUAAUAUGAUGGAGAUCUAAUUUGUUGACCUGCUUCUAGUCACUCCUCUCACCCUAGCCUCAACCAUCUUCCAUUUGGCUGCCAGAGAGUUUGCUCACUGGUUUGUUUUUGUUUCACACCUGCUCAGAAUCUUUCAGUGGUUCUCAAACAUCUAAGGAGAUUCACAAUGGCCUGCCUUCUGCCUAGCUCUCCAGGCUAAUGUACC
rnacentral:lncRNA from 1 species